GUCCCUUUCAAACCACCCCGGUAUUCUUUUUUGACCGACCCCUUGUUUGAAAGUGUUAUUAAAAUAGUUUAAAUGACCAAUGAGCGCUGUUAUCUGGGUUGAUUGACAGUUGACAUUCUUUAGAAUUAUUUUUUGAUUGACAGGGCGUCGUCAAGGAGACGUUCGACUCAGUCAGUCCCGCGCCGGUGUCGUGCCAAAAAGUCCCUCCAGGGAAGUCCCUACUUUGAACAACUUCAUCACGACUUUGAUGGAUUAUUUCAUUGAUUCACUUUCCUAAUACUUAGGUCUUGUUGUGCCUUUGGAUGUACUAAUCCGUAUUCUGUCGGAAGCUCUGCAGUUUUGAGCACUUCAGGCGUCGGUGUAACGCUCUUCGCUCAGCAUCCAAACCGUGCCACCUCCACCAACAGCCAGAAGAUCAGCCGUCGAUGGGGCAUGCGUUAUCACUACCAGAGCAACGAGGUGCCAUUCCAGUGAGAUUUCCACAAAGAGAAGUGUCAAGAUAAAAACAGAUGCACCACGGACCCUUUCAACCUCAACACCAGUCCAACCAAGGUCAAGUAAAACAUCCAGGUUAGAGGAGGAAGAGGACAGCAUCACAACACCACCUGACCCUUUGAUAUCUGGCAUUUGGAGAAAGGGCACAUCACAGUCGUCUGUGUGACACCCCCUCGCUGCAUGCCAGCACCCAAACCAAACCACCUCCACCACCACCGGUCAGAUCAUCUCGCUGAAGAUGUGUACAGUACGCUCCUGCCUGCAUCCUACCACCACAAGUUCACCCCAGAGGAUCUGCUGUCGACCACCAUUGUGAAAUCGUUGCAAUUAUGAAACACACUUAAUAAAUGCUAGUACAUCACACACAUUUUGUUUCUGAAUUGUUUUUCAAUAUUGAUUAACACACUGUUGUUACAACAU